rnacentral:rRNA from 1 species
CCUACGGGAGGCAGCAGUGAGGAAUAUUGGUCAAUGGACGAGAGUCUGAACCAGCCAAGUAGCGUGAAGGAUGACUGCCCUAUGGGUUGUAAACUUCUUUUAUAUGGGAAUAAAAUGUUCCACGUGUGGGAUUUUGUAUGUACCAUAUGAAUAAGGAUCGGCUAACUCCGUGCCAGCAGCCGCGGUAAUACGGAGGAUCCGAGCGUUAUCCGGAUUUAUUGGGUUUAAAGGGAGCGUAGGUGGAUUGUUAAGUCAGUUGUGAAAGUUUGCGGCUCAACCGUAAAAUUGCAGUUGAAACUGGCAGUCUUGAGUACAGUAGAGGUGGGCGGAAUUCGUGGUGUAGCGGUGAAAUGCUUAGAUAUCACGAAGAACUCCGAUUGCGAAGGCAGUUCACUGGACUGCAACUGAUACUGAGGCUCGAAAGUGUGGGUAUCAAACAGGAUUAGAUACCCGUGUAGUC